rnacentral:rRNA from 1 species
UGUCCUUGAUAUGAAAGAUCCGUCGGUCCGGGAUGGGCAUGCGGCGCAUUAGCUUGUUGGCGGGGCAACGGCCCACCAAGGCGACGAUGCGUAGGGGUUCUGAGAGGAAGGUCCCCCACACUGGUACUGAGACACGGACCAGACUCCUACGGGAGGCAGCAGUGAGGAAUAUUGGUCAAUGGACGGUAGUCUGAACCAGCCAAGUCGCGUGCGGGAAGAAGGCCCUCCGGGUCGUAAACCGCUUUAGCCGGGGAGUAACGUGCGGGACGUGUCCCGCAGUGAGAGUACCCGGAGAAUAAGCAUCGGCUAACUCCGUGCCAGCAGCCGCGGUAAUACGGAGGAUGCGAGCGUUAUCCGGAUUUAUUGGGUUUAAAGGGUGCGCAGGCGGCGAGUCAAGUCAGCGGUCAAACUGCGGCGCUCAACGCCGUACCGCCGUUGAAACUGGCGCGCUCGAGUUUGUGCGAGGAUGGCGGAAUGCGCAGUGUAGCGGUGAAAUGCAUAGAUAUUGCGCAGAACUCCGAUUGCGAAGGCAGCUGUCCAGCACACUACUGACGCUCAUGCACGAAAGCGUGGGUAUCGA